rnacentral:rRNA from 1 species
AGCUCGUGCCUACGGGAGCAGCAGUGGGGAAUAUUGCACAAUGGGCGCAAGCCUGAUGCAGCGACGCCGCGUGCGGGAUGGAGGCCUUCGGGUUGUAAACCGCUUUUGUUCAAGGGCAAGGCAGGCUUUCGGGCCUGUUGAGUGGAUUGUUCGAAUAAGCACCGGCUAACUACGUGCC